rnacentral:rRNA from 1 species
CGGGUGAGUAACGCGUGAGGAACCUGCCUUAAAGAGGGGGACAACAGUUGGAAACGACUGCUAAUACCGCAUAAGCCCACGGCUCGGCAUCGAGCAGAGGGAAAAGGAGUGAUCCGCUUUGAGAUGGCCUCGCGUCCGAUUAGCUAGUUGGUGAGGUAACGGCCCACCAAGGCAACGAUCGGUAGCCGGACUGAGAGGUUGAACGGCCACAUUGGGACUGAGACACGGCCCAG